rnacentral:rRNA from 1 species
AUUGAACGCUGGCGGCAUGCUUUACACAUGCAAGUCGAACGGUAACAGGUUAAGCUGACGAGUGGCGAACGGGUGAGUAAUGCAUCGGAACGUGCCCGGUCGUGGGGGAUAACGCAGCGAAAGCUGCGCUAAUACCGCAUACGAUCUAAGGAUGAAAGCGGGGGACCGUAAGGCCUCGCGCGAUCGGAGCGGCCGAUGUCAGAUUAGGUAGUUGGUGGGGUAAAGGCUCACCAAGCCAACGAUCUGUAGCUGGUCUGAGAGGACGACCAGCCACACUGGGACUGAGACACGGCCCAGACUCCUACGGGAGGCAGCAGUGGGGAAUUUUGGACAAUGGGCGAAAGCCUGAUCCAGCAAUGCCGCGUGCAGGAAGAAGGCCUUCGGGUUGUAAACUGCUUUUGUACGGAGCGAAAAGGUCUCCUCUAAUACAGGGGGCUCAUGACGGUACCGUAAGAAUAAGCACCGGCUAACUACGUGCCAGCCGCCGCCGUAA